CGAGACCUCAGGUCAGGCGGGGCUACCCGCUGAGUUUAAGCAUAUCAAUAAGCGGAGGAAAAGAAACUAACAAGGAUUCCCUUAGUAACGG
rnacentral:rRNA from 7 species